rnacentral:rRNA from 1 species
CGGAAUUACUGGGCGUAAAGGGCUCGUAGGCGGUCAACUAAGUCAGACGUGAAAUCCCCAGGCUUAACCUGGGAACUGCGUCUGAUACUGGAUGGCUUGAAUUCGGGAGAGGGAUGCAGAAUUCCAGGUGUAGCGGUGAAAUGCGUAGAUAUCUGGAGGAAUACCGGUGGCGAAGGCGGCAUCCUGGACCGACAUUGACGCUGAGGAGCGAAAGCUAGGGGAGCAAACGGG